CACGUAAGGAGCGAGCGUUGUUCGGAAUUAUUGGGCGUAAAGGGCUUGUAGGCGGUUUUAAAAGUCUGAAGUAAAAGAUCACAGCUUAACUGUGGGAGUGCUUCGGAAACUGUGAAACUAGAAUCAGUGAGGGGAAACUAGAAUUCCUGGUGUAGGGGUGAAAUCUGUUGAUAUCAGGAAGAAUACCUGAGGCGAAGGCGAGUUUCUGGCACAUGAUUGACGCUGAUAAGCGAAAGCGUAGGUAGCGAACAGG
rnacentral:rRNA from 1 species